GAUGAACGCUAGCGGCAGGCCUAACACCUGCAAGUCGAGGGGCAGCACAGAAACAGCAAUGUCUUGGUCGCGACCGGCGGACGGGUGCGUAACGCGUAUGCAACCUACCCUGCACAGGGGGAUAACGGAUGGAAACGUCCACUAACACCCCACACCAUCGGAAUCGGCACCGGAUUCGGUUGCAAUCUCCCGAGGGCGAGGACUGGCAUGCGUUGUAUUAGAUAGUGGGUGAGGUAACGGCUCACCAAGUCGACGAUACAUAGGGGGACUGAGAGGUUAGCCCCCCACACUGGUACUGAGACACGGACCAGACUCCUACGGGAGGCAGCAGUGAGGAAGAUAGGUCAAUGGGGGCAACCCUGAACCAGCCAUGCCGCGUGCAGGAAGACGGCUCUAUGAGUUGUAAACCGCUUUUACACAGGGAUAAAUCGGGGUACGCGUACCCCGUUGAAGGUACUGUGGGAAUAAGGAUCGGCUAACUCCGUGCCAGCAGCCGCGGUAA
rnacentral:rRNA from 1 species